rnacentral:rRNA from 1 species
AUUAGACGAAUCAUCUGGAAAGAUGAAUCAAAGAAGGUAAUAAUCCUGUAGUCGAAAAUGUUGUCUCUCUUGAGUGGAUCCUGAGUACGACGGAGCACGUGAAAUUCCGUCGGAAUCUGGGAGGACCAUCUCCUAAGGCUAAAUACUCUCUAGUGACCGAUAGUGAACCAGUACCGUGAGGGAAAGGUGAAAAGCACCCCGGAAGGGGAGUGAAAUAGAACCUGAAACCGUGUGCUUACAAGUAGUCAGAGCCCGUUAAUGGGUGAUGGCGUGCCUUUUGUAGAAUGAACCGGCGAGUUACGAUUUGAUGCAAGGUUAAGCAGUAAAUGUGGAGCCGUAGCGAAAGCGAGUCUGAAUAGGGCGUUUAGUAUUUGGUCGUAGACCCGAAACCAGGUGAUCUACCCUUGGUCAGGUUGAAGUUCAGGUAACACUGAAUGGAGGACCGAACCGACUUACGUUGAAAAGUGAGCGGAUGAACUGAGGGUAGCGGAGAAAUUCCAAUCGAACCUGGAGAUAGCUGGUUCUCUCCGAAAUAGCUUUAGGGCUAGCCUCAAGUGAUGAUUAUUGGAGGUAGAGCACUGUUUGGACGAGGGGCCCCUCUCGGGUUACCGAAUUCAGACAAACUCCGAAUGCCAAUUAAUUUAACUUGGGAGUCAGAACAUGGGUGAUAAGGUCCGUGUUCGAAAGGGAAACAGCCCAGACCACCAGCUAAGGUCCCAAAAUAUAUGUUAAGUGGAAAAGGAUGUGGCGUUGCCCAGACAACUAGGAUGUUGGCUUAGAAGCAGCCAUCAUUUAAAGAGUGCGUAAUAGCUCACUAGUCGAGUGACACUGCGCCGAAAAUGUACCGGGGCUAAACAUAUUACCGAAGCUGUGGAUUGUCCUUUGGACAAUGGUAGGAGAGCGUUCUAAGGGCGUUGAAGCAUGAUCGUAAGGACAUGUGGAGCGCUUAGAAGUGAGAAUGCCGGUGUGAGUAGCGAAAGACGGGUGAGAAUCCCGUCCACCGAUUGACUAAGGUUUCCAGAGGAAGGCUCGUCCGCUCUGGGUUAGUCGGGUCCUAAGCUGAGGCCGACAGGCGUAGGCGAUGGAUAACAGGUUGAUAUUCCUGUACCACCUAUAAUCGUUUUAAUCGAUGGGGGGACGCAGUAGGAUAGGCGAAGCGUGCGAUUGGAUUGCACGUCU